UACGUAGGGUGCGAGCGUUGUCCGGAAUUACUGGGCGUAAAGCGUGCGCAGGCGGUUUUGUAAGCCAGAUGUGAAAGCCCCGGGCUCAACCUGGGAACUGCAUUUGGGACUGCAAGGCUGGAGUACGGCAGAGGGAGGUGGAAUUCCACGUGUAGCAGUGAAAUGCGUAGAGAUGUGGAGGAACACCGAUGGCGAAGGCAGCCUCCUGGGCUAGUACUGACGCUCAUGCACGAAAGCGUGGGGAGCAAACAGG
rnacentral:rRNA from 1 species